rnacentral:rRNA from 1 species
UUGGAGGGCAAGUCUGGUGCCAGCAGCCGCGGUAAUUCCAGCUCCAAUAGCGUAUAUUAAAGUUGUUGCAGUUAAAAAGCUCGUAGUUGAACCUCGGGAUCAAUGGGUCGGUCAUGCCAAUGGUAUGUACUGGCCUCAUUGGUUCUCACCUUCUAAGGAACCAUGAUGUCAUUCAUUUGAUGUUGUGGGGAAUUAGGACUGUUACCUUGAAAAAAUUAGAGUGUUUAAAGCAGGCUAACGCUUGAAUACAUUAGCAUGGAAUAAUGAAAUAGGACAUCGCAUUCUAUUUUGUUGGUUUCUAGGAUCGAUGUAAUGAUUAAUAGGGAUAGUUGGGGGCAUUAGUAUUCAAUUGUCAGAGGUGAAAUUCUUGGAUUUAUUGAAGACUAACUACUGCGAAAGCAUUUGCCAAGGAUGUUUUCAUUAAUCAAGAACGAAAGUUAGGGGAUCGAAGACGAUCAGAUACCGUCGUAGUCUUAACCAUAAACUAUGCCGACUAGGGAUCGGAUGAUGUUGAUUUUUUAAUGACUCAUUCGGCACCUUACGGGAAACCAAAGUGUUUGGGUUC